GCAACAUCUCUUUAAGCAUUUCCAGACUAAAGACCUUGGCAGAUUGAAGUAUUUUCUAGGCAUAUAGGUUUGCUCAAUCUAGUUCAGGCAUAGUUAUUUGCCAACGCAAGUAUGCUCUUAGACAUUCUUGAGGAGACAGGAAUGGUGGGAUGUAGACCUGUUGACACUCCUAUGGAUCCGUAUGUUAAACUCCUUCCAGGACAAGGGAGCCACUUAGUAAUCCUAAAGGUAUAGACGGCUCGUUGGACAGUUGAAUUAUCUCACAGUGACUACACCUGACAUCUCUUUUCCUGUGAGUGUUGCAAGUCAGUUUGUUACUUCCCCUUGUCAAAGUCAUUGGGAAGCAGUGGUUCAUAUUCUGUGAUAUAUAAAG
rnacentral:misc_RNA from 1 species